rnacentral:rRNA from 1 species
UACGUAGGGUGCGAGCGUUAAUCGGAAUUACUGGGCGUAAAGCGUGCGCAGGCGGUUUUGUAAGACAGGCGUGAAAUCCCCGGGCUCAACCUGGGAAUGGGCGCUUGUGACUGCAAAGCUGGAGUGCGGCAGAGGGGGAUGGAAUUCCGCGUGUAGCAGUGAAAUGCGUAGAUAUGCGGAGGAACACCGAUGGCGAAGGCAAUCCCCUGGGCCUGCACUGACGCUCAUGCACGAAAGCGUGGGGAGCAAACAGG